AGAGUUUGAUCAUGGCUCAGAUUGAACGCUGGCGGCAGGCUUAAUACAUGCAAGUCGAACGGUAGCAGCAGGAAAGCUUGCUUUUCUGGCUGACGAGUGGCGGACGGGUGAGUAAUACCUGGGAAACUGCCUAUAAGAGGGGGAUAACACCUGGAAACGGGUGCUAAUACCGCAUAAACCCUGAGGGGAAAAGGAUGGGAAACCAUGCGCUUAUAAAUGUGCCCAGGAGGGAUUAGCUAGUUGGGGAGGUAAAGGCUCACCAAGGCGACGAUCUCUAGCUGGUCUGAGAGGAUGAUCAGCCACAUUGGGACUGAGACACGGCCCAAACUCCUACGGGAGGCAGCAGUAGGGAAUAUUGCACAAUGGGGGAAACCCUGAUGCAGCCAUGCCGCGUGUGUGAAGAAGGCCUUCGGGUUGUAAAGCACUUUCAGCGGGGAGGAAGCUGAAGUUCGAACAGGGCAGAAAGCAGACGUUACCCGCAGAAGAAGCGCCGGCUAACUCCGUGCCAGCAGCCGCGGUAAUACGGAGGGCGCAAGCGUUAAUCGGAAUAACUGGGCGUAAAGCGCACGCAGGCGGUUAUGCAAGUCAGAUGUGAAAUCCCAGCGCUUAACGUUGGGCGGUCAUUUGAAACUGCAAGACUAGAGUACUAUAAGGGGAGCUGGAAUUCCAGGUGUAGCGGUGAAAUGCGUAGAUAUCUGGAAGAACACCGGUGGCGAAGGCGAGCUUCUGGAUAGUAACUGACGCUCAGGUGCGAAAGCGUGGGGAGCAAACAGGAUUAGAUACCCUGGUAGUCCACGCUGUAAACGAUGUCAAUUAGGAGUCUAGUCCGAAGAGGCUGGGUUCCGCAGCUAACGCUUUAAAUUGACCGCCUGGGGAGUACGGCCGCAAGGUUAAAACUCAAAUGAAUUGACGGGGGCCCGCACAAGCGGUGGAGCAUGUGGUUUAAUUCGAUGCAACGCGAAGAACCUUACCUGAACUUGACAUAUACGAUGAUCUGUCUGAGAGGAUGGAGUACCCGCAAGGGAAUCGUAAACAGGUGCUGCAUGGCUGUCGUCAGCUCGUGUCGUGAGAUGUUGGGUUAAGUCCCGCAACGAGCGCAACCCUUGUUCUUUGUUGCCAGCGCGUAAAGGCGGGAACUCAAAGAAGACUGCCGGUGAUAAACCGGAGGAAGGCAGGGAUGACGUCAAGUCAUCAUGGCCCUUACGUUCAGGGCUACACACGUGCUACAAUGGUUUGUACAGAGGGAAGCGAAGUCGCGAGACGGGGCAGAUCUCAGAAAGCAAAUCGUAGUCCGGAUUGGAGUCUGCAAUUCGACUCCAUGAAGUCGGAAUCGCUAGUAAUCGCGAAUCAGAAUGUCGCGGUGAAUACGUUCCCGGGCCUUGUACACACCGCCCGUCACACCAUGGGAGUGAAUUGCACCAGAAGUAGUUAGCGUAACCGCAAGGGGCGCGAUUACCACGGUGUGGUUUAUGACUGGGGUGAAGUCGUAACAAGGUAACCAUAGGGGAACCUGUGGUUG
rnacentral:rRNA from 1 species